AGAAUCAACGCUGGCGGCGUGCCUAACACAUGCAAGUCGAACGAGAAAGUGGAGCAAUCCAUGAGUAAAGUGGCGCACGGGUGAGUAACACGUGACUAACCUACCCUCGAGUGGGGAAUAACUUCGGGAAACCGAGGCUAAUACCGCAUAAAACCUAAGGGUCAAAGGAGCAAUCCGUUUGAGGAGGGGGUCGCGGCAGAUUAGUUAGUUGGCGGGGUAAUGGCCCACCAAGACGAUGAUCUGUAUCCGGCCUGAGAGGGCGCACGGACACACUGGAACUGAAACACGGUCCAGACUCCUACGGGAGGCAGCAGUGGGGAAUUUGCGCAAUGGGGGAAACCCUGACGCAGCAACGCCGCGUGGAGGAUGAAGGCCUUAGGGUUGUAAAGUCCUUUUAACGGGGGAAGAUAAUGACGGUACCCGUAGAAUAAGCCCCGGCUAACUUCGUGCCAGCAGCCGC
rnacentral:rRNA from 1 species